rnacentral:lncRNA from 1 species
GUAAGAUUUAUUUUGACUCAUGGUUUCAAAGUUUGAUUCCGUAGUAACUUGGCACUGUUGUUUCUGGGUUUGUGAUGAGGUAGAACAUCAUGGCAGAGAGAGUGUGAUACAGCAAAUCUUUGCAGCUGGGAAAGAGAGAGAGACGGGAGCAGAGACAGGAUAUACCCUUCAAAUAUACAUCUUUGAGUGGCUGCUUCCCCAGACUAGGCCCUACCUUCUAAAGUUUCUACUACCUCUCAAAAAAGCACAUUAAGUUAUGAAUCCAUUCAUGGAUUAAUCCACUGAUGAGCUCAGAGCCACCAGCAUCCAACCACCUCCCACAGGCCCCACCUUUAAAUACUGCUGCAUUGGGAACUAAGCCUUCAACACAAGGACAACACAGAACUUUUGGGGGGCAUUCUAAAUCAAAACUAUAGCAGGUCUCAGUAUGUACUUGUUGAAUAUCCUUUCAGAAGAAUGGGAAUUGUGGG